GAUGAAGAACGUAGCGAAAUGCGAUAAGUAAUGUGAAUUGCAGAAUUCAGUGAAUCAUCGAAUCUUUGAACGCACCUUGCACCCUUUGGCAUUCCGAAGGGUAUGCUCGUUUGAGUGUCAUUGUACUCUCACACUUCUGAUGCUUUGGAUUGGGAGCGGUGGACUUGGGUGUUGCUGCUUUACUGUGGCUCACCUCAAAUGCAUUCGUGCAACUCUUGGUUGGACAUAGUACGGCGUGAUAAGUAUCUUCGCCGGCACCUCGCAAGAGGGUGGCUGAUCAGGAGCUCUGUGCUUUCCAACUGUCUUCAGACAACAACUGACAACUUGACCUCAAAUCGAGUAGGACCACCCGCUGAACUUAAGCAUAUCAAUAAGCGGAGGA
rnacentral:misc_RNA from 1 species